rnacentral:lncRNA from 1 species
UAUUGCCAAUGAUCCAUAUUAACUUUUCCCAAUUUGAAGGUUCAUUUUAUUAUCCUUGCUGCCGAGCUUACCAUGUUUAACCAAGUUUUUGUCAGUUAAAAUCAUCACUCAGAAAAUUUAAAAAAUCAUGCUUUCUAUUUUGUAUACAGGUUGUUUGUGAGCAGAGAUCUAUUUGUUGUUUGAUGACCAUGCGCUGCUGCAUACACCGUCAUUUGCUGAUUUCAUAAAUUGUGAUAUUACAUUUCAAUUGUUGCUUGAUUAUUGUAUCCUCUCAUGAAUGCUGUGUAUGCCUACUAAUGGAUAUUUGUGGAAAAACUGAGACUCCUAUCUGCUGUUAAGUUUUGCAACAUAGAUUGUUGAUGCAUUUUUCAUAUUAUCCAUUUGUGGUUGGUUGAAAGUUGCUUUUGAGCAAUAACAAUAUCAUAAUUCGACCUUGCUAUUAUAUUACCUUAAACCGAUAAAACGUGAUACAUGAUUACGUGAUUAUAUUUAACUCGAUCAAACUACCCUAUGAAAAAAAUUAUGUACA